AAUAUUGGACAAUGGGCGAAAGCCUGAUCCAGCCAUGCCGCGGGUGUGAAGAAGGUCUUCGGAUUGUAAAGCACUCUAAGUUGGGAGGAAGGGUUGUAGAUUAAUACUCUGCAAUUUUGACGUUACCAACAGAACAAGCACCGGCUAACUUCGUGCCAGCAGCCGCGGUAAUACGAAGGGUGCAAGCGUUAAUCGGAAUUACUGGGCGUAAAGGGUGCGUAGGUGGUUUGUUAAGCUUGAAGUGAAAUCCUCGGGCUUAACCUGGGAACUGCUUUCAUAACUGCUGAGCUAGAGUACGGUAGAGGGUAGUGGAAUGUCCUGUGUAGCGGUGAAAUGCGUAGAUAUAGGAAGGAACACCAGUGGCGAAGGCGACUACCUGGACUGAUACUGACACUGAGGUGCGAAAGCGUGGGGAGCAAACAGG
rnacentral:rRNA from 1 species